AGCCCAGAGCUAUCACGCACCACCAAUCAUAGAUUCUUCCUAAAAGUGGUAUUCUGUUUCCUCUUUUCCAAAGAAUGGCAACCUGGCCACAAACUAUAGUGCCAGAAGGAUGAUGUGUCUGGUGUUCUAAAGCCUUACAGUUUCAUUACAGAGAGUGAAAUACCAAUUAGGAAGUAUAGGGAACCCUCAAAUCUGUCCUUUAUUACCUACUCUAAGAAACUGUCAGGGCUUCUCAUUACUUGAUGCGUUAGUUAAGGUUUUGGUUGCUAGUAACCUCAGCUGGCUGAACUAGCUCAAAGCUCCAUUUUGUAAAAGUAGGUAGAGGUAUCUCAGGAUCCCAAGAGCAGGAUGUAGCUAGAUCCCAGGAAAAAGCUGGAACCUAAAAUUAGAAUUGUAUAUGUAUUAUUCUGUAUACUCUCAUCUCUAACAUCUUCUUCAUUCAUCUUUUCCUGUUCACCAUCCUCAGAUACUUGGUACCCAUCUCUGGUGGCCACAAGGCAGCCUACUCUCAGAGGUUAUAUCAAAUGGACCCUAUUUCUCCCAGAACCUGAUAUCAGCCCUUUGGCCUUGCAGUCCCUGUUCCCAGAUGCAAUGAUAUAACUGGCCUUGUUUAGGUGGAGUGAAUGCUUCAGUUUGAGCAGCUGUAACCAAACAAAUAUGGAUAUUGGAGGCCAACCCCUGAAAUGGGAGUGGGAUGCAUAGGCCAGCAGGGGGUAGGUCCCAGGGAAAUAAAGUGAAUUUUUUAUUCCUGAAGGUGUCUGCUUAUAGGCAGUGAUCCCUGAUUUUGCCACCUGAUAUAAACCAUUCAAUUUCAGGAAAUUUUUGUCAUUUUGAAUAAUGGAAACUUAAGCGUUUUUUUUUCCUCAGUGAAUUUAUUGCAUUUAUAUUGUGCAGUGAUCAUUACAACCCAAUUUUACAACAUUUCCAUCCCACACCCCCAGCAUCCCCCCACCUCCCAACCUCUCUCCUUUGGAAACCAUAAGUUUUUCAAAGUCUGUGAGUCAGUAUCUGUUCUGCAAAGUUCAUUGUGUCCUUUUUUCAGAUUCCACAUGUAAGUGAUAGCAUUUGAUGUUGGUGUCUCAUUGUCUGACUGACUUCACUUAGCAUGCUAAUUUCUAAGUCCAUCCAUGUUGCUAAAAAUGCUGGUAUUUCAUUCCCUUUAAUGGCUGAGUAAUAUUCCAUUGUGUAUAUAUACCACAUCUUCUUGAUCCACUCCUCUGUCGAUGGACAUUUAGGUUGUUUCCAUGUCUUGGCUAUUGCAAAGAGUGCUGCCGUGAACAUUGGAGUGAGUACAUGUGUCUUUUUGAGUCAUGGUUUUCUCUGAACUUUAGCAUUUAAGUUAUUUUAAGCCUAUAGCUGGUGGGCUUAGUUGUUUGGUACAUAAUCAAGGGGUAAUAACUUGAUUUGAGUUUAAGUUCUAGUUGCAUACUUCAUUCUUAGUUCUUAAAUCAAAAUUGUUAUAAAUAUCUAUUAUGCAUCCAAAAGAGAAUGAUUGAGAAUGCAGAAGGGUUAGAAGCAGGGAGCUGAGUGGUGGUUAUCAGGGCCUGGGGGUGAUGGAAAUGGGGAAAUGUUGGUCAGAGUGUACAAAUUUCCAGUUAUAAGAUUAACAAGUUUUAAGAAUCUAAUGUACAGCAUUGUGGUUAUAGUUAAUAAUACUGUGUUGUAUACUUGAAAGUUGUUAAGUGAGGGAUUAUGAGGCAUGAUGGAAGUGUUAACUGAUGCUGUGGUGGUAUUCUCUUUGUAACAUAAGUGCAUCAAAUCAACACUGUACACCUUAAACUUAAACAAUGUUAUAUGCCAACUGUAUUUCAAUAACCUGGGGAAGAAAAUGCAAAAAAAGGUAUUCAAAUUGGAAAUGAAGAGGAAAAACUGUCACUAUUUGCAGACAUGAUACUAUAAAGUGAAAACCCUAAAGUCACCAUACAAAACUAUUAGAAUAAAUGAAUUCAGCAAGGUAGCAGGAUACAAGAUUGAUAUACAUAAAUCUGUUUGCAUUUCUUUACACUAAUAAAUAUCAAAAACAAAAAGUAAAAUGAACCUGUUUAAAAUUAAAUUAAAAAAAAAACAUACUUGGGAAUAAACUUAACUAAGGAGGUGAAAGACCUGUAUGCAGAAAACUAUAAAAUGUUGAUAAAGGAAAUUGGGGAUGAUUCCAAAAAAAAAAUGGAAGGAUAUUUCAUGCUCUGGAUUGGAAGAACUGAUAAUGUUAAAAUGGCCAUACUACCAAAAACAGUCUACAAAUUCAAUUCCUGUCAAAAUACCCAUGACAUUUUUCACAGAACUAGAAAAAAUACUCCCAAAACUUAUAUGGAACCAUAAAAGGCCUAGAAUUGCCCAAGAAAACCUGAGGAAAAAGGAGAAAGCUGGAAGCAUAACUCUCCAGACUUCAGACAAUACUACAAAGCCACAGUAAUCAAAACAGUGUGGUAUUGGUGCAAAAACAGGUCAAUGGAACAGAAUCGAGAAGCCCAGAAAUAAACCCACACACCUAUGUUAAGUUAAUCUGUGACAAAGGAGGCAGAAUAUGCAAAUCAGAAAAGAUAGUCUCUUCAGUAAGUGCUGUUGGUAAAGCUAGACAGCCUCAUGUAAAUAAAUGAAAUUUGAACACGCCCUCAUACCAUACACAAAAAUAAACUCAAAAUGGUUUAAACACCUAAAUAUAAGAUAUGACACCAUAAAACUCUUAGAAGAAAACAUAGGCAAAACAUUCUCUGACAUUAAUCAUGGGCAUAUUUUCUUGGAUCAGUCUUCCAAGGCAAAAGAAAUAUAAGCAAAGAUAAACACAAGGGACCUAAGCAAAGUUAAAACCUUUUGCACAGCAAAGAAAACCAUCCACACAAUGAAAAGACAGCCUACAGACUGGGAAAAAUAUUUGGAAAUGAUGCAACUGAGAAGGGGUUAAUAUCCAAAAUAUGCAAAUGCCUCAUAUAACUUAAUAGUGAAAAAACAAACAACCCAAUCAAAAAA
rnacentral:lncRNA from 1 species